GGUCUUGUAGUGUAGUGGUUCAUCACGUUUCGUUUACACCGAGAAGAUCGCGAGUUCGAACCUCGCCUGGGCCA
rfam:Pachysolen tannophilus NRRL Y-2460 unplaced genomic scaffold PACTA_scaffold_4, whole genome shotgun sequence.